rnacentral:ncRNA from 1 species
AGUCGAAAAAGGUUAGUCGCAAGAAGUCAGCAGAAGCCAUAGUAGUGAAACUAUUCAUGAAGGGC